rnacentral:lncRNA from 1 species
CACGAAGGUUUGAUGUAAAGACUAUUUCAUCCCCUAGACGGUUCCCCAGGGCAUGUUCACUGACAUCAAGGUGCAGAACUUACUUUAAGUAGCACUACGUAUGAGGGCUGUACAUCUCACAAACAAAACAGAAAGACAAUAACUUUAGUAAAAAGAUGGAUACCAUUCAAGCCCAAGGAAAACCAAUGCUUCUUUUCAUCUAUGGACUCAAGUCUCAGAAAGCAGAGAAGUGAGUGUACCAAGUGCAACAAACGUUUGAGCAUUGUUCUGCUGCCAAUAUUGAAGACAGCCACUGCUUUGAAGUGUGGGGAGGAGAGCUAGAGCAUAUUUGCCUGCCACAGUUAGUUUUGUGUUUCCAUGGAAUUUGAGCAAAACUGAUGCACUUGUCUCCCAGGAUUAAUCCAUACAAGUCACCUCUAAAAUUAUCUUUUCCCAUUCGUUGACUGAGCAAAAUGGACUUCAAGGACCUAAAGGAGGUUAAAUACCACAAGAUGGAGGAGCUUGAGUCUCUGAAUCAUUGUGUGUGAAGUCAUCUGCCAAUUACAUAAAUUGAAUUCUUGGGAAUUCUUGGUAUGAUAGGACAUGAAAGCUGAGAGAAAACCCUUCUACCUAGGAACUCCGGAGUUUCAACUACCAGAGACUGAAGGCAGGAGAGAAAAACUAAGACAAAUGACUUCAAAGCCUUUCUGAAAUGCCACAGAGGGUCAGGAUUACAAUCUGCCUAUUCUGAUUCUUCUACUAUGGGAAAAAAUCUUUUUCAGAAUUGAUGUAAAGCCUCUGUUAAUACUUUUCCUGUUAACAACCUAACUAUUCAACUGCUGAAUAAAAACCAUUAGGACAACUAAAGAAACUGAGAGAUUUUGGCAAGAAAUAGUCAUUCCAAUAUCAAUGACUACGGAGGAAAUGCAAUUACUUUUCUUUGCUUAAGUUUUCCAGGGCCUUUCUCUGUUGCCCAGGCUGGAGUGCAGUGAGGCAAUCUUGGCUCACCACAAUCUCUCCCUCCUGGAUUCAAGCAAUUCUCCUGCCUCAGCCUCCCGAGUAGCUGGGAUUACAGGCAUGCACCACUACACCCGGAUAAUUUUUGUAUUUUUAGUAGAGAUGGGGUUUUACCAUGUUGGCCAGGCUGGUCUUGAACUCCUGACCUCGUGAUCAGCCUGCCUCGGCCUCCUAAAGUGCUGGGAUUACAUGCAUGAGCCACUGUGCCCUGCCAACUUGUUAAAUUUUUAAUCAUUCUGCUCACCUUUUGCAACCUUACUGACUUUUGUGUCUACCUUAUCUAGCAGUGGCUGAAAUUUCCUUCUAUGAUUAUAGAUUUGUCUGUUAUUUCUUAUAGAUUUCUCAAUAUUGCUUGUAUUAUUAUUUUAAGUUAAUACCAUUAGGCAUAAAAAUUCAAAAUUGUUAUCGCU